rnacentral:rRNA from 1 species
UACGAAGGGUGCAAGCGUUACUCGGAAUUACUGGGCGUAAAGCGUGCGUAGGUGGUUCGUUAAGUCUGAUGUGAAAGCCCUGGGCUCAACCUGGGAAUGGCAUUGGAUACUGGCGAUCUAGAGUGCGGUAGAGGGCAGUGGAAUUCCCGGUGUAGCAGUGAAAUGCGUAGAGAUCGGGAGGAACAUCUGUGGCGAAGGCGACUGCCUGGACCAGCACUGACACUGAGGCACGAAAGCGUGGGGAGCAAGCAGG